rnacentral:rRNA from 1 species
UAGGGAAUAUUGGGCAAUGGACGGAAGUCUGACCCAGCCAUGCCGCGUGCAGGAAGAAGGUCCUCUGGAUUGUAAACUGCUUUAGACGGGGAAGAAUAAGGAUCAUGCGUGAUCUGAUGACGGUACCCGUAGAAUAAGCACCGGCUAACUACGUGCCAGCAGCCGCGGUAAUACGUAGGGUGCGAGCGUUGUCCGGAUUUAUUGGGUUUAAAGGGUGCGUAGGCGGGAGAGUAAGUUCGCUUUUAAAGCCGGCCGCUUAACGGUCAGGUAGGGGGCGGAUACUGCUUUUCUUGAGAGGGCUCGGGGCUGGCGGAAUUUGUGGUGUAGCGGUGAAAUGCAUAGAUACCACAAGGAACACCGAUCGCGUAGGCAGCCAGCCAGGGCCUUUCUGACGCUGAGG